AAGACUAUACUUUCAUGGAUCAUUUCUAUAGCAUUUGACUAGGAAAUGUGAUUUGAAAGUGUUGUGUCUCUCUAAUCACAAUGAUGAGUCAUAAUGUACUUUUCUGAAUGUGAAAUGAAUUUUAGCUAAUGAUUUAUUCAUGGGCUUUAAUUCUUGAUGAGUGUUCUGUACUUCUUGAGAAGUUGCAGAGGAAGAGUACAUGAUCAGAGUGAU